rnacentral:rRNA from 1 species
CAAGUCGAGGGGCAGCAUGAACUUAGCUUGCUAAGUUUGAUGGCGACCGGCGCACGGGUGAGUAACGCGUAUCCAACCUUCCGCUUACUCGGGGAUAGCCUUUCGAAAGAAAGAUUAAUACCCGAUGGUAUCUUAAGCGCACAUGCAAAUAAGAUUAAAGAUUUAUCGGUAAGCGAUGGGGAUGCGUUCCAUUAGGCAGUUGGCGGGGUAACGGCCCACCAAACCGACGAUGGAUAGGGGUUCUGAGAGGAAGGUCCCCACAUUGGAACUGAGACACGGUCCAAACUCC